UACGUAGGCAGCGAGCGUUGUUCGGAAUUACUGGGCGUAAAGAGUGUGUAGGUGGUGCUCUAAGUUCGGUGUGAAAUCUCCCGGCUUAACUGGGAGGGUGCGCCGAAAACUGGAGUGCUCGAGCGUGGGAGAGGAAAGCGGAAUUCCUGGUGUAGCAGUGAAAUGCGUAGAGAUCGGGAGGAACAUCAGUUGCGAAGGCGGCUCUCUGGACCAGCACUGACACUGAGGCACGAAAGCGUGGGGAGCAAACAGG
rnacentral:rRNA from 1 species